GUCCUGUUUUUCGUAAUUAAUUAUAGCCAAACGUAAUUAGAAAUCACUAACCACCUGACCAGGUUCAUUGAAUGGGCGACACGUGGGAGAGGCGAACGAUAAAAGGAUCCGGCGGGCGGAGGCAGGCGAGGAGAUGCAACUUCGCCUUGCCCUCGAAUUGGACGCAGCCAGAGACGAUGACGGUGGAGGCUUUAAGGCUAUGGAUUCUUCUUCCUCUCUUCAUCUUCAUCGUCCCGUUUCCUUAUAUGAUCUUUGAUUCGAUCUAUUUUAGUUGAUUUUUUGGUUGCAUGGACGGAGGCGAUCGGCCGGGGUCGUGUUUUGGGUUGACAGAAGAGAGUGAGCACACGGCGGGGAGGGCAUCGCGGCGGUGCUGUUGCUGUGGCGUGCUCACUUCUCUCUCUGUCAUCUCCAUCUCCCCGGGCCGGCGGCGCUGAGGGAAAACUAACAAACACGGUUCCUUUCGUUUCCCCUUUGGAGCUGAUAUACGAAAAGAAUGGGGCGGUAUCUCCAUGCGAUGCAUCGGGGGAGGACACGCGUGGCGUGGACUUGGUCUCACUUAUCUUGUAUCAGCCAUCAGCUUCUCUGUGGCCGAGACGUCUCGUCCGAUUGGGUUAAACCCGAGGUGGAUUGGCGUGUGCAAGCGUGACUUUUGAGAUGAAGAAUACUCUGGAACGAGAUUGGAUAAGGAUUCAGAGGAGGAGUUGUAGCUUGCUUCGGAUAUGUUGCUACUCCACGAUUUCUUGGUCGUUUGCUGCAUUCUUGGUCCAUGGUGAAGCAAGUUGAGGAAGCAAGCGCAUCUGAAUGGGGCUUUCGUUCCUUCGUUCAAACGUGUUGGGUGGAACACUUGGAUCGCUCGAGAGUACACAUGUAGUCCCAGUUAUCUUGCGUCUUACAAAACUCGAUCGACAUAUGUUGUCAGCGCUCAACAAGAGGAAGUUUGCUGAUAUUAAAAGGAAUAAGACAUUACUCGCGAGCAGCAACAAUUGCAGUGAAGCGGGAAAACUGGUGCUAAAGACGCAUCUUAUCAGUAGGUAUCGAUAACUGGAGCAGCAUACUGUGAACUUUAAGCCCAUAUUUUUCGUGCAAGGGUGUUUUGUCCAUUUUGAAACAUGCAGGGAGCGGUCUGCAAACAUUUCGGUUGUCUGUUGUAAGUAAUUAAAUAUAUUUUUCGAA